rnacentral:rRNA from 1 species
CCUGGCUCAGAACGAACGCUGGCGGUAUGCUUAACACAUGCAAGUCGAACGCGAAAGUCUCUUCGGAGGCGAGUAGAGUGGCGCACGGGUGAGUAACACGUAGAUAACCUGCCCCUUAGUCUGGGACAACCUUCUGAAAAGAGGGCUAAUACCGGAUAAUACUUUUAGCCAUACGGUUUUAAGUUGAAAGAUUUAUUGCUGAGGGAUGGGUCUGCGCACCAUUAGCUUGUUGGUGAGGUAACGGCUCACCAAGGCGACGAUGGUUAGCGGGUCUGAGAGGAUGGUCCGCCACACUGGAACUGAGACACGGUCCAGACUCCUACGGGAGGCAGCAGUGGGGAAUUUUGCGCAAUGGGCUAAGGCCUGACGCAGCAAUACCGCGUGAGUGAAGAAGGCCCUUGGGUCGUAAAGCUCUUUUUUUCAGGGAAGAUAAUGACGGUACCUGAAGAAUAAGCACCGGCUAACUCCGUGCCAGCAGCCGCGGUAAUACGGAGGGUGCGAGCGUUGUUCGGAUUUACUGGGCGUAAAGGGCACGCAGGCGGCAUAACAAGCUAAGGGUGAAAUCCCGGGGCUCAACUCCGGAACUGUUCUUAGAACUGUUAAGCUAGAGAUAGUUAGAGGCGGGUGGAAUUCCUGGUGUAGAGGUGAAAUUCGUAGAUAUCAGGAGGAACACCGGAGGGCGAAGGCGACCCGCUGGAACUAUUCUGACGCUGAGGUGCGAAAGCGUGGGGAGCGAACGGGAUUAGAUACCCCGGUAGUCCACGCCGUAAACGAUGAAUACCAGCUGUUUGAAUAACGACAACUCCCAAGUGGUGCAGCUAACGCGAUGAGUACUCCGCCUGGGAACUACGGUCGCAAGACUAAAACUCAAAGGAAUUGACGGGGACCCGCACAAGCGGUGGAGCAUGUGGUUUAAUUCGACGCAACGCGCAGAACCUUACCUGGGUUUGACAUCCUCUGACAGGUCUAGAGAUAGAUUUUUUUCUUCGGAAACAGAGUGACAGGUGCUGCAUGGCUGUCGUCAGCUCGUGUCGUGAGAUGUUGGGUUAAGUCCCGCAACGAGCGCAACCCUUAUCCUUAGUUGCCAGCACGUAAUGGUGGGAACUCUAGGGAGACUGCCUGUGUCAAGCAGGAGGAAGGUGGGGAUGACGUCAAGUCCUCAUGGCCUUUAUAUCCAGGGCUACACACGUGCUACAAUGGCAUCUACAAAGAGCAGCUAAGCCGCGAGGCCACGCGAAUCUCAAAAAAGAUGUCUCAGUUCGGAUCGCAGUCUGCAACUCGACUGCGUGAAGCUGGAAUCGCUAGUAAUCGUGGAUCAGCAUGCCACGGUGAAUACGUUCCCGGGUCUUGUACACACCGCCCGUCACACCAUGGGAGUUGACAUUGGCAGAAUACAUUGAGCUAACCCUUUUAGGGACGCAGGUGUGCAAGCUAGUGUUGAUGACUGGGGUGAAGUCGUAACA